rnacentral:rRNA from 1 species
AACGAACGCUGGCGGCAGGCCUAACACAUGCAAGUCGAGCGAAGCCUUCGGGCUUAGCGGCGGACGGGUGAGUAACGCGUGGGAACGUGCCCUUUGGUACGGAAUAGCCCCGGGAAACUGGGAGUAAUACCGUAUGUGCCCUUCGGGGGAAAGAUUUAUCGCCAAAGGAUCGGCCCGCGUUGGAUUAGGUAGUUGGUGGGGUAAUGGCCUACCAAGCCGACGAUCCAUAGCUGGUUUGAGAGGAUGAUCAGCCACACUGGGACUGAGACACGGCCCAGACUCCUACGGGAGGCAGCAGUGGGGAAUCUUAGACAAUGGGGGAAACCCUGAUCUAGCCAUGCCGCGUGAUCGAUGAAGGCCUUAGGGUUGUAAAGAUCUUUCAGUGGGGAAGAUAAUGACUGUACCCACAGAAGAAGCCCCGGCUAACUCCGUGCCAGCCGCCGCCGUAAUAC